UACGAAGGGGGCUAGCGUUGCUCGGAAUCACUGGGCGUAAAGGGCGCGUAGGCGGUGUGUCAAGUCAGGCGUGAAAGCCCCGGGCUCAACCUGGGAACAGCGCUUGAGACUGGCACGCUCGAGUUCGGGAGAGGAUGGUGGAAUUCCCAGUGUAGAGGUGAAAUUCGUAGAUAUUGGGAAGAACACCGAUGGCGAAGGCAGCCAUCUGGACCGACACUGACGCUGAGGCGCGAAAGCGGUGGGGAGCAAACAG
rnacentral:rRNA from 1 species